rnacentral:RNase_P_RNA from 1 species
CCAGAUGGCUAGGUGAUCGCGGAAUGAAAAUUUCGAGGAAAGUCCGGGCUCCAUGGAGACAAGGUGCCGGAUAACAUCCGGUGAGAGCGAUCUUAAGGAUAGUGCCACAGAAAGCAAACCGCCAGCUUAGCUUUGGCUAAAAUGGUAAGGGUGAAAGGGUGCGGUAAGAGCGCACCGCUUUGUUGGUAACAACAAAGGCAUGGUAAACCCCACCUGGAGCAAAACCAAAUAGGGAUGACAACUGGCAGGUCUUUGUGCCGUCAUCCGGGUCGGUUGCAUGAGGUGUCUGGCAACAGGCGCCCUAGAUGAAUGAUCGCCUCUCUUGGGCAACCAAGAUGACAGAACCCGGCUUAUCGGCCAUCUGGUAUU